AAAAAGGUUUUUUCAUUGGUUUUUUACACAAAACAUUUGUUGUUCUCUACGCAUUCUGAGCAAAGCGAACCUCAAAGUUGACCGAGAAGGCAACAUCUGCUGUGCCCUAGUCUGCCCCGCCGUGGUUGUGUGUGCCGUGGUAGCUUCAGUGCCGUGACUGUUCUGUGACUUGCGAGCCCCCCUUUCACAGGUCCUUGCCUUUAGGGACAUAGAUCCCCAAGCUCCUACCCAUAUUCUAAUCAUUCCUAAAGUUAGGGAUGCAUGGUUGACUGGUCUGUCCAAGGUAUUUGUUAAUGAGUUUUCUGCGUCUGUAGGCAUAUUAUGUUGUCUGAGAUGUUCAUUUGAAGAUCAUUUAUAUA